rnacentral:rRNA from 1 species
AACGAACGCUGGCGGCAUGCCUAACACAUGCAAGUCGAACGAAGGCUUCGGCCUUAGUGGCGCACGGGUGCGUAACGCGUGGGAAUCUGCCCUUUGGUUCGGAAUAACAGCUGGAAACGGCUGCUAAUACCGGAUGAUGACGAAAGUCCAAAGAUUUAUCGCCAGAGGAUGAGCCCGCGUUGGAUUAGGUAGUUGGUGGGGUAAAGGCCCACCAAGCCGACGAUCCAUAGCUGGUCUGAGAGGAUGAUCAGCCACACUGGGACUGAGACACGGCCCAGACUCCUACGGGAGGCAGCAGUGGGGAAUAUUGGACAAUGGGCGCAAGCCUGAUCCAGCAAUGCCGCGUGAGUGAUGAAGGCCCUAGGGUUGUAAAGCUCUUUUACCCGGGAAGAUAAUGACUGUACCGGGAGAAUAAGCCCCGGCUAACUCCGUG